CACGGUGUACGAACGCGGUUACGCGAGUAGCGCGAUAGCGAGCACGAGGCAGAACCGCUUCGCUGCAACGAUUCCGUCCGCCUCGUAAGCGUUAUCGCGACGGAGCGAGCAGCGUUUCGUCGGUCGUCUACCGACGCGGCCUUGACCUUCCAGCGAAACCUCGAUGAAAGUCCGGCGAACGAGACCGGGCUCAUCGUCGACCUCGUUAGCCGCGCGACGCUGUCUUCGCUCUCGCACGUAGAAACGCGAAUUCCGGGUAAAUGUGUGCGUGGAAAUUCGAUAGAUUCAGCGACGUCCCGGACCAUGAUCUUCAUCGCCGUGGUAUCUCGCAUCGACGCUGGACACGCGCAAAACGUACGUCGACGUUGCGAGACCGGACGUCUCGUCGGCGACGAAGAAUUCUCGCCUCGAGAACACGUGGUCGACGUGGCUGGCCGCGAAAGCGACGAACGACGGCCGACCGAGCGGCAGCCCGUUUUACGAUUGCUUGCGUAACGUUUUGCGGCGUAGCCGUCGGCGACCUUGACAUCGAUCCACUUGCAUAGUGUCUGCGAAAAGGUUUGGACGAGUCGAAGGCCGAGCAGCGAAGGACCGCGGCAAAUCGCCGAGCGUAUCACCGUGUCCUUAGAGGGAGAUCAACAACCCGAGGGAUGCGUCUAUCGCGCCGAUGAGAAUAACCAGAACUCGAAGGCUCGCGAACGUAGCAGACGUACAUGCAAAUUCGAGUGCUGAUAAGUCCGGAAUGGAACUUGAAAUAGAAGAGCCGGAGGAACAGAGGGGAAGAGGUACUUUCGAUCGAGCUGAGAAGCGCGUCGAUAGAGAUAGCGAGCAGCAAGAACCGGCAGCGCGAUACCGCAUUGCGUAUAAAAGGGUUUCCUUUUCAAGGUGAAUCGAUGAUAAGGCGACUGGUUUGCCCCACGGUCACUUUGUUCUCUAGAAAAAUCAAAUUGGGUUGAUGGAAUAUUCUCUGCAUGGAAUGCGUAAAAAUCGCCCGAUCUCCGACCGGUCGAUCGGAUAAAAUACUCGAAAAAGAAAAAUCAGAAAUCGAUCGUUCCAAUGUCUCGAAAUUUUCGUACAUUAACGGAUAAAGAAUUCGUCCGCUAGAAAACUGACUUAUAUACGCGGUACGUUUUAGAAUAAGGGAACUUUGUAGUCUAAAGAAUUUAAUAAACUCGUUUCCACGA